UUCAACAUCAAUGGACUUUGUUCAUAAAUAAUAUACUUGAAAGAUCAAGAAAAAAUAACAGAAAAUUAAAUCAUGAUAAUUUACAUGAAGCGAAUCAUUAUUUAAUAUUUCCGAUGGCGAUUUAUAUAAUUUCAUUCAAAAUAAAAUAUAUAAAUUCACGAUUGAGAAUUAUGAAAUAUUUCACAUUGUAAUUAUUGAAAAAAUGGUAUGGUAAUGACACUUUCGGCAGAAAUCGAAAAAGGAUAUCGAUUAAAUCGAGAUCGGUUAACACGAGUUUAUAAUGAUAGCUAAUACAAGAACGAGACGAAGCGCUUUACACCAUGGACACAGUUGCACUAACAGCCGUAGUCAGAUACGCAAUACGUAAUAUGCACCGUGUAAUGCCCCAAAUCGAAUGCGAGCAGGAGCAGUAGGCCGUUUAGUCAAGUAACGCGAGUUUCUAAGCGGGAGAUUAUUCUUUUUCCUUGUGACUUAUAUUUAGCUUGUUUCCGCGCGACACUCACGCGUUACCGAAACAUGGUGUGCACGUGUGUUCAAUGUGCGUUUGCAUAUACUGUCGCGUCAUAUAGAAGAAAUGCUGGUAUUAUUAUAUUUUUGAUUUACUCAAUCGUUAACAAGAAUGAGAAACAAUAAGAUUGUUAACAAGUAAAAUAAAAAGAAUGUCGACAUUCGAUUAUUCCUUAUGUAAAAAUUCGUAUUCAUUUAGUCGAAGCAAUCAAAUAGUGAGAAUGAUUCCGUAUUAUUGAUACUGGUACUACAUAACCUAUACUAUCAUUAAUCCAUAUUUUUAUUUUUCUUGAAUUAUUAUUCCUUUAUCAUAUCUUUAUUUAUUUAUGUAUUUAAUUUAUAAAAAAAUAUCAAAGAAUAUUAAUAAUGAUUAUUAUUAUUAUUAUUAUUAAUAAAUAUUUUAACACUGACUUAUCGUAUGUCUUACGAUAAACGGACGAAUAAUUAGAAAUAUUACUUUCUUAUAUAACAUGUUGAGAUUAUAAUUGUUAAUAAUGCAA